AUUCAAUACUUUCUUUCAUUUUCCUUUGUUGCAUGCUUUAUACCAUAGCAGGUUAUGCACUAAUCACAUGGACUAUAAACGAAGACAAAUGUCCGAAGGUGGUCAAAGUGCGAACCGCUUAACGAACCUUAACACAACAGUGUCAAGAGAAAGCUUCGCAUGUUGAAAAUUUUAAAAAGACGCAGAAAGGAUACUUUUGCAGUAGCAGCAAUAGGUCGACCAAAAUACUGGCUCAUAGAAAGUAGUAGUAUUAUAUUUAUGAUGCUAAAGAGGUUGCUAAUUAGGAUGCAAGCGAUGGGAAUAUCAAAGAAAUGUAAUAAAGAGUAGUAGGGACAAACACUCAAGAAAUAGAAUUUUAUUUUAUUUUUUUAUAUUUUAUUUUUCUUUAGUAACAAAUGGAACUCUGGUUCGUUAAGUGAAAACAAAAAAAAAAGACACGUUGGCAUAAAAUCGACUCACAUUCAUCAAUCAAGACCAACUUUGAAACACAUUAUACUGCUACUACUACUACUACAUUACAACCGUUGUGUUUUUGUUUUACAACUACCAAUCCAGUCAAUCCCCCACAUAGACCAAAAUCUCCCACACACGUGAACCCCAGUCCAAGUCUUCACCAGUCCCCUCCAUCCCACCCUUUCCUAGUCUUAACGCUCACCCUACCCCCAUAAGGAUCGAAAUCCCCCACUUUGCGACUUUCAAAGUACUGGGCGGAAACUGGCGUAGCUAAUGUCUAAGAUGUCAGCGUAGGUGGCGAAUUUUAGUGUCUCGGGUAUAUCUGUUUACACAAGCGUUUGCUACUAUUACCAAUUCCUAAAUACAGAAUAAUGGUUUAACCAACCGCUCGAUAAACUCUGUUUCCCAUUUUUUUACUCUCAUCGCUUGGCCAUGAUUCGCUUCGCAUGCAUUAAAGUAAUUACGGCACAUUGACGUAAUAAACCUUAUUUUGAGGUCGUACGAAAAGAGCCCAACUCCUCGCGGCCGUAGUGGACGUGCGGGUCAACAAACCAAACUAAACAAACGCUAUCA